AUCCAGAUGACGAGUCACAAAUAGGACGAAAUGCACAUCCUGGAU
rnacentral:hammerhead_ribozyme from 1 species